UUUUGGGAUCGCGGACAGCGCUCAAGGCAUCCCCAGCCUGGCUCUUCUGGAAGCAAACCUGGUGAACUCCUGAGCCCUCCAGCAAGGCGGGCAGGGCCCGAAUGUCUGGAGAGGACUUUGGACCGUGUAGCGGGCACCUCCCUUGCUAGGGGGUGCAGGGUGAUGAGGAAGCUCUGGCCCCUGAGGUAGAGGAUGAAAAAGGACCCCGGUUCAAGUAACCAGAAUGGAAAAUGGCAUCUGACAGGAACUCCUGCCAGGAACCUCUCCCUGGUUAACACCCACACCCCAUACAAAACAACCCCUUGAAAGCAGGCCCCCUUGGCAACCGAGAAGAAGCUGGUGAAGACAUUUCGCCUGCGUCUGUGAGGUGGUAUCAGCAGGCAGGGCUGGGCCUGACAUGCACCCCUCCCUGUGCUUCUCGGAAAACUGGUGACUGUGUGGGGCUUGGGUGGAGCCUGGGCUGUGGGCAGGGUGAGAGCCUGG
rnacentral:lncRNA from 1 species